CACGGUGUCACUGAAAUUCACAGCACGUCUCGAUGGCUUGGCACCCUCAGUCCUGCUGCCCUGCCGCCGCCACGCUGCACGCAUGGCUAAGGACACUCCGUACACACACCCGCGCCUUCGUCUAGGACUGAAAGAUAACAUACCAAACUAUCGGCUGCACGCACUGAGCUCACCUGGAAGCCCGCGCCUCCCCCGCCAGUCAGCGAGAGGCAGGAAAACUAAAGGUCAACACAUCUACGCACACACCUGCCAUUGACAUUUCACAGCGAAGGUUGAUGCAUCUUGGCAAGUUUUUACUAUCGAUUCUUAUGUAUGCAUCUUCUGGGACAAAUAAAUGAAUAAAUACCA